rnacentral:tRNA from 1 species
GGAGAUGUGGCCGAGUGGCUGAAGGCGCACGCUUGGAAAGCGUGUUAGGGUGCAAACUCUACGUGGGUUCGAAUCCCACCGUCUCCGCCA